CCUACGGGUGGCAGCAGUGGGGAAUAUUGCACAAUGGGGGGAACCCUGAUGCAGCGACGCCGCGUGAGUGAAGAAGUAUUUCGGUAUGUAAAGCUCUAUCAGCAGGGAAGAAAUAAAGUCCUUCGGACUUCGGACGGUACCUGACGAAGAAGCCCCGGCUAAAUACGUGCCAGCAGCCGCCGUGAUACGUAGGGGGCAAGCGUUGUCCGGAUUUAUUGGGGGUAAAGGGAGGGUAGACGGCAGCGCAAGUCGGGAGUGAAAUCCCAUGGCUUAACCAUGGAACUGCUUUGGAAACUGUGCAGCUAGAGGGCAGGAGAGGUAAGCGGAAUUCCUGGUGUAGCGGUGAAAUGCGUAGAUAUUAGGAGGAACACCAGUGGCGAAGGCGGCAUACUGGACUGUAACUGACGUUGAGGCUCGAAAGCGUGGGGAGCAAACAGGAUUAGAUACCCGAGUAGUC
rnacentral:rRNA from 1 species